rnacentral:rRNA from 1 species
AGAGCGAACGCUGGCGGCAGGCUUAACACAUGCAAGUCGAGCGGGCGUAGCAAUGCGUCAGCGGCAGACGGGUGAGUAACGCGUGGGAACGUACCUUUUGGUUCGGAACAACACAGGGAAACUUGUGCUAAUACCGGAUAAGCCCUUACGGGGAAAGAUUUAUCGCCGAAAGAUCGGCCCGCGUCUGAUUAGCUAGUUGGUGAGGUAACGGCUCACCAAGGCGACGAUCAGUAGCUGGUCUGAGAGGAUGAUCAGCCACAUUGGGACUGAGACACGGCCCAAACUCCUACGGGAGGCAGCAGUGGGGAAUAUUGGACAAUGGGCGCAAGCCUGAUCCAGCCAUGCCGCGUGAGUGAUGAAGGCCCUAGGGUUGUAAAGCUCUUUUGUGCGGGAAGAUAAUGACGGUACCGCAAGAAUAAGCCCCGGCUAACUUCGCGCCAGCAGCCGC